ACAUAGCAAUUAUGGAACCAGAAGGCUGGUCGCAGAAGGAGGGACAUGUUGUCGGCUGGUCUGGAUGUGAGAUAUGUUUUUGCCUCUUACGAGCUGUGUGACUUCAGGGAAGUUGCUUUGCCUCUCUGGUUGGCACACCCAAACCCUGCUUGCCAGCCAGUCCCCUGCUGGCUUCUCCAUCCACUCCCUCCUCACUCAUUCUGUACCAACCACCUUGACCUUCCUUCUUCUCCCACCUCCAGGCCUUUGUCCUUGCUGUUUCCUCUGCCAGGAGCUCCGUUUCUGGCCAGGCCAACCCUAUCCAGCCAGUGUUCCCCGGCACUCUUUUUAUUUUACUUCCUCAGUUGCUGUUUUGCGGUCUGUCUGCCCCCCUUUUCAGGAUGGGAGCUCCACCUGGCUCCCCCUCCCCAGACCAGCCACCGUGGUUUUGGAGAGCCACUGCCCUCCUGCACUAGACCCAGCGUGUCUAAUUGUCCAGAUUAGGUGGGUCAUGGUGGCUGGGAAAGCCCCGCAUCAGGUGGCUGAAACGCCCUGACUCAGUUCCCACUGCCCUGGGCAGGGAGGCUAGGAGACCAAGUCCCCAGUGGAGUUGCUGUGUGACCUUGGCCACUUGCCUGCCCUCAUGAGUCUCUGCGUGUCUGAGCUGUUUGGCGCAGAAGCCAUGAUGAUUGGCUGCUGAGGGCCAGGGGCCCUGAGGACAGGUGUCAUGGGGUCAGGGAACCCUGAAACAGUCCAUGAGGUUUCUUGUCUUCUCCUGGGGAGGAGGUGAGAAGCCCAAAGGAGCAGGGAACCCCCAAAGGGCAUAGUAACUGGGCCAGGGGAUUUUUAAGACUCAAGUAGCCCUCAUGUUCAUUUGACACCGUGUGCAUCCGGCCAGAUAGGUAGAAAAGUCACUGAGGAGCCCCCAGGAAUGGGCCAGGCUUUCUUUGAGGGAUUGAAUUGGACAUCUGAAUAACCCACGUUUGAAUCUUGGCCUCACGCACAGCAUGACCCUGGGCCUGAGUCUCCUUGUCUAAAAUGGGAGCAAAGACUGUCUCUUGAAUGAUUAGAAAGAUCUGCACCGAGUGUGCUUGGAAAGUGCUGGCAUGGCAAAGAUGGAACUGGCUAAACGUCAUACAAUACAGCACGAUGAUGAAUGCCUUCUGGGGGCAAAUUGGGGGACCUGCAUACAGAGCUUUGGGGGACAAAGGGUUUGGGGGUCCUGGGAGCAGCAGGGCCCAAGUCUGGCUUCUCCCAGGGGUGUCGAGUCUCCUGCUGCAGUGCCGAGAGCAGGCUGGCAGGAGGCCUGCCCCAGGACCACCUGAGCCGCGGUGGGGAAACUGAGUCACACCUGUGUGGCCAGAGCCCUCGACAGGUGCAGGGGGUCAGUUCUGACCUUCUAGUUCUGUGCCUCAGUCACCCUGUGGGCUGCAUCGAGGCCUCUGGACUCCGCAUCCAGUGCUCUCCCCGACAUCACCCGAAUUUCAGUCACUCACUUUGACGUGUGCCUUUUGCCCCAUCUACCUGGUCCUCCUAGUGACUUGGUAGUUUUCUUGAAACCCAUUCUCUUUGAAAACUUAAAGGAGAAAAAUUUGUCUUACUCUCAUGAAUGGGCAACCUGGCAUGUCCUUGACAUAAGAAGGCAGAACCUUUGAAAUAAAUGUGAUGAGAGCC
ensembl:lncRNA